UUCCUCCAACAUUUUUUACUCUACCUCAAAUUUUUAUUGGGCCAAAAAAUAAUAAUUCAUAAACAUAAAUUUAUCAAUUUUUUUUUUUCAUAAAUCAGAAAAAUCAUCAUCUGUGAAGAACAACGCAUUUUCCCGCAAAUCAGAAAGAAAAUCUUCCGUGGAGAACAAUGCCAUUUCUCCUAGUAUGAAACUUCUCAAGAACGAUCGAUCAAGGACAGAAAGGGUUUUCUCAAGAUCUCUGGUUGAAUAUUUUUCAGUUUCUCAUAGAUUUAUCAUUGUUCCUCAAGGACAGAAAGGGUUUUGUUUGAAUCUGGGAUUAUUAGGCGGUGGAGGAUCCAAGUAAUAGUGCCUAAGAUUUGAACUUGGAACCUUAAGCGUGCUUGUGCUCGGCUAUCCUUAAGCUAGGGUUGACACAAAUACGAGGGUGCAUGCUGUUUAUUCCAUCACUUGUGUGCAAAUGGAGUAUUCUCUUUGGACUCGUGAUAUGUUCCACUUUGUAGCCCCCUAGGCCAGGGGUUCUUUUGUGGGAAGGAAAUCACAGAAAGCUUGCCUGCGGAAAGUCAGGUGGUAAGUAAUUGCAGUAGUUCCAAGUAUAUAUUGUGUCAACACAGUUCCUGAAGUAAUCAUCAUUCUAUUUCCCUUGUUUGGUUUAACCAUAGUAUGUAGUAUACAAGAGAUGACGAUUGACGGCUACCACUCCUGUGUCGCAUUUUCUUCAUUCUAGCUAACUAAGUCCAAGAAAACUUAGUUCUCUGUACAGUUUUUGGAAAUGAAGAAGCAAUUACUGCUGGUGCAGACAUUCUGCUCAUGCCUUCUAGAUUUGAGCCUUGCGGACUGAACCAGCAUUAUACAAUGAAAUAUGGGACUUUUCCUGUUCAUGCAGUAGUAUGACCGAGAGAUUCUAUGCUUCUAUUACUAGUUAUCAUCUUUUUAUUUAAUUUUCUUGCCUCAUUUGAUAUGUAUUUGAAUACAACUUUCAUUUUAUAAUGAUUAUUCUUCGUGGAAGGUACAAAGAACUGUUAUGGAGUGAGCAAGAUUUUUCGCAUGUAAUGAUCCUGCUACUUUAGAGUAUUUUUCAUAUGUAGAUCUUCCACCACACUAUAUGGAUUCUUUCAAGUCGUAUGACCCAGUAGGAGGUGAGCAUUUCAACACUUUUGCGGCUGGUCUAAAACAACAGACCGUGUAGUUACAGUUAGUCAUGGAUAUCCAUGGGAACUUAAGACUUCGGAAGGUGGUUGCGGAUUCAUCAGAUAAUUACGGAUUCAUCAGAUAAUUAAUGAGAACGAUUAGAAAUUACGGGGUAUCGUGAGUGGGAUGAUACAGAAGAGUGGAACCCUGAGUUGGACGUUCACUUAAAGUCAGAUGGUUACGUGAACUGCUCCUUGGGCACACUGCAGACUGGCAAGCCUUAAUGUAAACCUGCAUUGCUGAACAAACUUGGUUUACCAGUUCGUGAUGAUUUCCUACUGAUCGGUUUCAUUGGGAGGCUUGACCCACAAAAGGUUGUUGAUCUGAUUGCUGAGGAAGUGCCUUGGAUGAUGGAUCAGGAUGUACAACUGGUCAUGUUGGGUACGGGGAGGCCUGACCUUGAACAGAUGCUAAGGCAAAUUGAGUGUCAACACAAUUAUAAAAUUUGAGGCUGCGUUGGUUUCUCUGUGAAGACUUCUCAUGCUUUAACUGUUUGUGUAGACAUUCUGUUCAUGCUAAGCCUAUUGUCAUAGUUUUUUUGACUGCAUUUGAUUUUGUGGAAUUAUUAAUAGUAAAUAUCUUUAAACAAUCACUUUCUAAGUAUUGAUUGUAUAAGAAAUGUUUUUUGUAACUUAUUCGUAAUAUAUAGCUUUGAUUUA